CUCACUUCUGGAUAUCUGCUAUUUGUAGUUGCUUUCAUCUUUCUUCUCAGCGUCACAGUCUCACCCAACAACAAAAACAAUAGCAGCAAUUCUCUUUUUCAUGAGGAGAACCUUAAUUUUCUAUAAUGAAGAGGAAAGCAACUACAACCCCUAAGACAAAAAACGGGGGAAGCACAAGUGGAAGUGCAAGUAUGGGUGAAUCGGUAGCUUGAGGAUUGAUGAAUGAGGGUUUAUGGGAAUGACUCAUGUUUUAUGAAAAAUUUCAUGUCUAUGUGAACUUAAUUUACUUUAGACUUUGCAUUUGUGUGUUUUAUGAUGUAUGAAACUAUGAAUUGUGUUGUGAU